rnacentral:lncRNA from 1 species
UAACCCUUCCUGUCUUGGAGGAGGGGUGUCUGAGCGUUGCUCAGGUGCUUCUGGUUCUAAGACAACAAUUUUCAUUUCGACCUGGGGCCCGUUCUUCGUACCUCGCUAAGUAAGUUAGCCGGAUUUGAAUGUUGACGAUUUCGCGUGAUCUUGGAUCGUUCGGUUCUCCGAAGCUCAUCUGGGACUUGCUGUCAUAGCAACAGAUCCGUAAGCGUAAACCUGCUCGGGAGCAGGUUUACUUUAUGUAAACAGGAUUAGAUCGCGGCCACUCAGGUAUGUCCGCUGCAGUUAUAUGAAAGCAAGAGCGAUAUUUCGCCACUGUUUUACCAUAAAUAAAUAUUAGCAAUGUAACUAAAGAUAAUGCAGCAUUUGAUUCUUUUAUUGAUUUCAUACAGAUACAUACAGGUCAUUUCCGAAAAAAAGGGAAAUGUACUAUUAAUCAUCCUAUUACAUGUAGUAGAUCAUGUCAGAUGUAAUUCAUAUUUUAGAGUAGUAAUAGUAAAUUACUACGUGCAAUCAAGAUGAGCACACCGUCGUGCUGAGCUAAAGGAUCCUGUCUAUCCCGCAAUAUACGCUAAAUUCUGUAAACUCUCCUUAUCAAUCUUGCACCUUCCUUGCUCGCGUACAAACGGACAGGACAUGGCUGCGACAGACUUCCCAAAUCCACCUUCGCUUUUAUAGUCGUGGUCUGUCAUCUUGAUUACACGAAGUAAUUUACUAUUACUACCCUAAAAUAUGAAUUACAUCUGACAUGAUCUACUACAUGUAAUAGAAUGAUUAAUAGUACAUUUCCCUUUUUUUAGGAAAUGACCUGUAUGUAUCUGUAUGAAAUCAAUAAAAGAAUCAAAUGCUGCAUUAUCUUUAGUUACAUUGAUAAUAUUUAUUUAUGGAAAACCAGUGGAGAAAUAUCGCUGUUGCUUUCGUAUAAAUAAAGCGGACAUACCUGAGUGGCCGCGAUCUAAUCUUGUUUACAUAAAGUAAGCCUGCUCCCAAGCAGGUUUACGCUUACGGAUCUGUUGCUAUGACAGCAAGUCCCAGAUGAGCUUCGGAGAACCGAAUGAUCCAAGAUCACGCGAAAUCGUCAACAAUCAAAUCCGGCUAACUUACUUAGCGAGGUACGAAGAACGGACCCCAGACCACGGCAGAAGCAGAUAUGGUAUGUAAACACUGGUUUGUUUUUUUUUAAACCCUCUGGUUAAGGUUAUGGGCAUGUGCAGUGAAUAUCAGCGCUAUGUGGCCAGAAGUGUGAUAAUAUAAUUUAUUUUGUGUAAUAAACAACUGCAAGGAUAGAUGAUUACAACAAAUAGAUGACUAAUACAUAAAAGUAAUACAUAGAGGAAUAAUGAUGAUAAGUUAUGAUGCGUAAUCAUGGGAACAAGUGGGUUUACAAACGGCAGCAGCUGAUUAGCAUUAAAAAAGCUGAAAUAAUACCUCAACUGGAGCCAAUUGUACUAAAUGCACUAAAUGUGCACUGUUACAAGAAUGUUUUUCGUUCUAUUGUUUUCUAUUAAUUUAUAUAAUUUUAAGUUAAGCAGGACAGAGUUCUUUUAAAGAAAGAUUUACUUAUAUUCUCAAAAGUUAAGCAUGUUUUGUUUGUUAAGCAUUCUGUUUAAGAAAGAGACCUGUUUUAUUGUGUUAAUGUUGUCAUUUUGAGCUAAAAAUAAAUGGCUA